ACACAGCGGGACCCUGCUCAGGACCCAGUGGGCCACUCACAUCCCAGGUACAGGGGAGCAGAGGCAGCUGUUUUGUUCUGGGAACCUUCCACAAAUGUAACAUAUUACGUCAGUUGGGGGGGGGGAUUAAAAAAUGAGGAAAAAAGUCCCCAAAGAGGAACUAGGAAGAAGCACAUAUUCCUCUCUCCAUUGCUCCACGGCCUAACCUUGCCUUCUGUGGCUGAGGUACCUGGGCCUCGCCGGCAUCGCCGGGCCUCACGCUUCAGGGGCAGCGAUCCCAGCCCCCCUCCGCCGCGGGUGAGAGCUGCAGGCGACCUAACCCCGCCGCCGCCAGCCAGCCGUCCGGCUGGCCCGCCCCGCGGGCCAGCUUGUGGCAAGCCCGUGGCCAGGGCGCGGAGCAGGCAGUGGUGGGCACCGCCCCUCGGCCGCUGUCAGUCAGAGGGCGGGGCGGGGGCGGCACGAGUUGGUGUCUGGGAAAGUCGGGCUUUAGCACGCAGUGGGAUGGAUGCCUGGCAGGCAGUAGGGUGACGCCUUCGUCAUUGAGGUUUUGGCCGAGGACGGUCCCGGCAGCUCUUCGCUUGUCCCCGGACCCGGAAGCGCCGUCUGCGUGCAGUCCUGCCCCGGCGGUGGAGGGGCUGCGCUCCUCCCUGGGCGGCGUUGGGGCGCGGGAAUUGAGCACCGGCACUUGGAGAGCGGCUGCUCUGCGGCGGGGACUGCCGCCUGGCUGGCUGUCGGUGCAGGACUCCUGGAGGGGUUAACUUACUGCCAUCUUACUAGCAUGGUGGUUCAGAUUUUACUGCCUUACUAUUUUUUUUUUUUUUUUAAUUGUAGCUAUUAUUUAAAGGACUUUUCUGAAGUGCUGUGGUGUUCCCCUGCCCUCUUGUGUAGCUUUGCAGCCCACCCAUAUAAAGUCUUUGAAAUGUUUCAGAAUAGGACAUGCAUUAUAGUGUCUACAGUUAAAUGAAUAUAUUUUUUCCAUGUAUACUUAUUUGAACUUGUUCAGUGGUAGAAUCUCCACAGGCUCAAAAUUACUCUUUCAAAGACUGGAAGUGGUAUAAAGUAUUUAUAAGUAUGUAUCUCCUAAUAUUUGGCUAUAUAUCUUGGACCUCAGUUUCUUGCGGAAAAUAGUGUUCUGUUGUGGUACUUACCUUGAUUAUUUCAAUUUUGAGAGUGGCAGCAUCACAUUUCAGAGAUAACUGCAGUUUGAGUUAGACGUGUGUAGAUACUUAGUGGGGAGAAGAGUCAGUCACUGUGGAUGGGUUUCUAUUAGAUGGAGAUUUGUUACUGAAGUAGCCAGGCCCAAAGGAAUUUCAAGGCCACCUCGGAAAGCUGAAAACAGGACCUGCCACGGGAGAGAGGCAUUUCUACAAUAACAAGGCCUCAACAUGACGUAAAUCAACGGAUCUAUCAGCAGUGAGACUCCAGUGCAUGGACAGCUCGUGAACAUAGAUGAUAUCCAAUUAGUGAAUGCAUGAUUGGAGUGUGGAUGUGUGAUCAGAGAAUAGUUGCAUAUAUAAGGAGGCUUGUUUCUGUAAUAAAUGGCUCUAGCGUGAUUCACGUUGCAUCGGAGUGUGGGGUCCUUUAUUGAAGUCUGCACGAUGCUUUCCUUAUUAACCUGUUUUCUUUGUGGGUAUCUGUUUAAGCAUGUUGCAGUUUUGGUAAGUCUUUGUUAUAUGGUACGAUAAGUUCACAGACUGUUAAAUCAUGAGAAUCCGUUGACUCAAAAUGUGUGUUUUGUGAUAAUACAGAAGACCAUGAGCAAUUUAGUUCUUUACUGCAUUAAUGUGAUGGUAAAAUUUUUGUGUGUAGUAGCUGUUAUUUUUCUUUCUAGCAUGCUAGAUUUAUUCCAGUAUGCAGACUUGCGCAACUCUGUGAUAGGCUAUGUCUCAUGUCAGUGUGCUGGAUUUGGCCUUUUUGUAUGCACACCAAGUAAAGAAUACUGAUUUUUGGGAUAACAGUUGUAGCACACCAGAUGAGAUGCUAAUAAAAGCCUUGCGCAGUCCA